rnacentral:lncRNA from 1 species
AUAAAUAACGAAUAAAUAACGAAUAAAAUAACGAACAAACAAUGAAUAUAUAAAAUAAUAUAUUAAAAUUAAAAAAACAAUUAAAUACCAUCGUUUCUAAUUUUUUUUUAUUAAUAAUUUAAAUAAAAUAAAUAAAGUAUCUAUUUAUGUUUUACAUAUUUUUACAAAUAACUUUUCUUAUUUACAAUAUUUACAUUGCAAGAUAAACAUAUACAUACGUAUAUAUAAAUAUUUAUUUAUAUGUUUUUACUUAUAUGCGUUUAACAAAGUGUUAUUAAAUGCAUAUAUUUAUAUAUUUAUAUAUAAAAAUAUAAAAAUAUAAAAAUAGAUUAAUAAGUAUAUAAACAAAUAGAUUAAUAAGUAUAUAAANNNNNNNNNNAAAUAGAUUAAUAAGUAUAUAAACAAAUAGAUUAAUAAGUAUAUAAAUAUAUAUGUAUAUAUAUACAUGUAUAUAUGUGUGCUAAUGCAUUAAUUUUUUUAUUUAUACUUACAUUUUGUUAAUUUGCUGUUUGUCGAUUUUUAUUUUAAAAAAUACAAGUUUACAUAAAAAAAAAAAAAAAAAUGAACAACAAUAAAGACAAUAGUAAUGUAAAUAAUAUUAGGAAAGUUGUAAAGGAUAGAAGUACAAGUAAGAGUUUUGGUGAUAAAAUAAAAGAGAAUGGUAAUUUAUAUGAAGAUAAGUACAGAAAUAAAAAAAAUAAUGAAAAUAACUAUAAAAAUAAAGCAUCAAUAAACAAUGUAGAUAACAAACGAGAAGACAUUAACAGUAAUAAUUAUAAUAACAACUCUAAUAUUCAAACAAAAAAGAAAGAGGAAGUUCAUAAUAAAGUAAUUAGCAGCGAUAAUAUUAACAGUAAUAAUACUAAAAAUGAUAAAGAUGAAGAGAAGAAAAAAUCGACUAAAAAAAAAAAUAAUAACAAAUCUGUUGAUUUGGAUGAAAAUGUAGACAAUGACAUUAAUAACAUAAUUAGCAACAGUAACAACGACAGUAACGAGAAUAACGAAAAUAACGAAAGUAACGAAAAUGACGAAAGUAACGAAAGUAACGAAAGUAACGAAAGUAACGAAAGUAAAGACAAUAAAAACAGUAACGAAAAUAACAGUAACAACACCACCACCACCAACAACAACAACAACAACAGUUUUAAAAAAAAGGAAGAAAAAAGUAGUGACUAUAAUAAUGAAAAGAAAAAAAGAGAAGAUAAUAAAAACAAUAACAACAAACAUAACAAUAUGAACAAUUACAAAUAUUCAACAAAUCAAUUGAAUAAAACAUUAAAGGAAAAAAAACAUAUGACAAAAGUUGAUAGAAUCGAAAAUUUACAUUAUAAUAAUAUGUAUAAUAAUAAUGGUAAUAAUUGGAAAAAUAAUAAUAAUAAUAAUAAUAACAAUAAUAAUAAUAAUAAUAACAAUAAUUAUAAUUAUAAAAAUAAUGAAAAGGUACAAAAUAAUUUAGUUUAUCAUAGAUCUAAAAAUAAUAAUAUGAAUAAUGAUUAUAAUGUAAAGAAAGAUAAAAUAAACAGUUUUAAUAAUAAUAAUAAUAAUAAUAAUAUGAAAGAUUUAAAUAAAAAAGGGAAUUUUAAUAAUAAGAAUAAAAAUGGUACAUCUAAUGAAAACUCUAACGAUGGUAGGCAUGAUGAAAGAUCGGAUGGGAGGAAUAAUGGAAGGAAUGAUAAUAAGAGUAAUUAUAACAAUCAUACAGGUAAUUAUAACAAUCAUACAGGUAACUAUAACAAUCAUACAGGUAAUUAUAACAAUCAUACAGGUAACUAUAACAAUCAUACAGGUAACUAUAACAAUCAUACAAGUAACUAUAACAAUCAUACAAGUAAUUAUAGUGAUGUAGGAAAUUAUAGUAGUAAUAAUAAUUAUAAUAGUAGUGGUAAUUAUGGUAGUACGGGUAAUUAUAAUUUGACUGGUAGUUAUAGUAGUACUAGUAACUAUAACACUACUAAUGGCUAUAAUAAUACUGGUACUUAUAACAGCACUGGCAACUACAAUAAUAAUAAUAAUUUUAUUGGAAAUUAUGCUAGCUGUAUUCCAUAUAAUUAUUAUAUUGAUGAUCAUGAUAAUAAAAAUAUAGAUUUUUCAAAUUUUUAUGCUUCUAAAAUGUAUUUAACUACAACAGCACCAACGGUAGCAGCUACAGGUGUAGGUACAACAGCGGCAACAAUUAGUGGAGCUACAAGUAAUGAACCAUACACAAGUAAUGAAACAGCAUAUGACAUACGCUACAACUAUAAUAAUAUAUUAAGUGAUUAUUAUAGCUAUAUUCCAUUAAAUUAUUAUUAUUAUAAUAUGAAUAAUAUGUACUUAGGAAAUAAUAAUAAUAAUAAUAAUAAUGCAGAAGUAGCAACAGUAGCAACAGUGGCAGCAGGAAAUACAAACACAGCAACUAAUAAUGUAUCUAAUAUAUGUUCUGACAAUAAUAGUAAUACAAACAACAACAUUGUCACUAAUAGUAGUAACAGUAAUAGCAAAAAUGGAACUGCUACUAUGGGAACUACUACUAUGGGAGCUGCUACAAUAGGAACUGCUACAAUAGGAACUGCAACUAUUGUAAAUAAUAAUGUAAAAAAUAGAAAAAAUAAAAAAUAUUCUUUUGAUAAAAAUAAAAAAAAAAAUUAUAAUAAUAAUAAUAAUAAUAAUAACAUGAACAAUUCAGGUAUAUAUAAUGAAUUUAAAAAUCGAUUGAUUGAUAUAUUUAAAAGAGAAAAUGUUAUGUCUGAUGAUUAUUUGUUAUAUUAUAUAUAUAACAAUAUAAAAUUGAAUAUUGAUAUUAUUGCUCGACACCCAUAUAUAGCUCAAUUAAUUAAUAAUAAUACUAGUAGUAACAGUAAUAAUAAUAAUAGUAACAGUAAUAAUAAUACUAGUAAUAAUAAUAGUAAUAAUAAUACUAGUAANNNNNNNNNNAUAAUAAUACUAGUAAUAAUAAUAGUAAUAAUAAUACUAGUAAUAAUGUUAUUAACAAUAUAA